rnacentral:piRNA from 1 species
UACUCCAGAAGUGGUCCGCCAUACGCUGC